CCUGCUCCAGCUCUGCUCACCCGACUCACACUGAAGCGUUAGUGUGGAUCAUGUUUUAAUAUUUACUUGUGUGCGUGUGUUUUGCAACAUUUUCACUCUCCCGACACAGGUUAAAAGAAACAAUUAUUUGUUUAUUUUUUUUUCCAGUUUGAACAUUACUUGAUUUUUUGAACCACAUUUUUCAUUUGAGUGCCAUGUUCACUCUGAUAACAGAUCAUUCUCCUGUUUUCAUAUCUCACUGCCAAAAGGGACUCGCCCGUUAUCUCUGAUUGAGGCAAUUCGAACUUUAAGUAAGCCUGUCUUUAUCAACUACUGUUUUAACAGCUGAUUAAUUAGUGCUGCAGAGAUCUAGGGGAGGCCUUUAUCUGAAGAGCAGUUCAACCAUUAGCAAAGGAAACUUCCUUGUGCACCAGCGGCUCAGAUAACAAGUUGGCUACCUUGUUGCCCCAGGGCACCUGUCUUGGGGAUAACCAAGAAUGUGGAUGGUGAUGGCCAUGGUGCAAGACUCAGCUUCAGUGGGGGCUGCUCCCAGGAUGUCGGGCUCACGGACCCCUCUCAUUGAUGCCAGUCUCAGGUGGCUCUAUCCCUGGAAGAACAUUCAGGUCAUUUUUGCAUCAUUUGAUCCUUGAAACUAUACUAAGAAGGGGUCAGAGUGAUAUCACCGUUUUCUCAAAUGUGAGAAUGAACACUGGCAAGAUAAAGUGACUUAUUCAAACGUACCCAGAGAGCUGAUGAGAAAGUCAAGCCUAGGAAGCAUGCAUCAUGCCCAACACUGAGUACUAAGAGGAAAACACAAAGGACAAGGUCUCUGGUCCUGAGGAGCUUAUUGGAGUGAGACACGAAGAAAACGUAUGAAUGCAAAUAUGAUUUUAAAGUGUGUACAUUUUAUGAAGAAAAGAGAUAGAUACCCAGGGGAAGAAUAAAAUGGGGGCCAAAGAAAGCCCCUCUGUAGAAGAAGUGAUAUUUGAGCUGCGAUGUAAAGAAUAAGAUGGAAUUCAUGCAGGCAAAUCGAAAGAGGACAAGUCUUCCAACAGCAUGUGGGAAGAAGUAUGAAAAAGAGAGAGAGACAGACAAAGACAGUUCAAAGACAAAAGCGCAUUUUAGAUAUUUUUUAAGUUUUUGAGUGUAUGCAAUCUAAUAUAUGAUAUCUUUACAAUGACCUAUGGUACUGCAAUAAUCAGAAAGUUUCCUACUCUUUGGUUUUUCUGCCAUUUAUAUAUCAUGUUGCUUAAAAAUGUUGAAGGCCACUUUCCCCAUCUUUGGCCUAUUUUUACUUUUUUCCCCUGCACCAAUUUUGUGCUUUGUAUUGGUGACACUGACCUUUGAAACAGUACUUCUACUUUCUUUCACUGCCUGUGUGGCAGAGGGGCAACUCGCCAUCCUUCCCCUGGUUGUCUGAAAGCCUGUAUUCUAUGUGUACCAAGUGAUGAUUUCUUUCUCUUGGCCAAGUGUGAAUUACUUUAAUGCGGCCCUGAAAGCAGUUUUAUAAUCUAAAGAAUAAACAGAUUACUUGUCAAAUU
rnacentral:lncRNA from 10 species